rnacentral:rRNA from 1 species
UACGUAGGGUGCAAGCGUUGUCCGGAAUUAUUGGGCGUAAAGAGCUCGUAGGCGGUUUGUUGCGUCGGCUGUGAAAUCCCGAGGCUCAACCUCGGGUCUGCAGUCGAUACGAGCAAACUAGAGUGUUGCAGGGGAGACUGGAAUUCCUGGUGUAGCGGUGAAAUGCGCAGAUAUCAGGAGGAACACCGGUGGCGAAGGCGGCUCUCUGGGCCUUACCUGACGCUGAGGAGCGAAAGCUAGGGGAGCGAACGGG